CGCAGUAGCCGGACUCGGCGGCUCUUCCGGUUAAAGGAUGACGUCAGGGACACGCGCAAGCAAGACGGUCUUUUCCGGUUCGGAGCGGCGAGGAGUGUGGCAGCUGAGACAUCGUGGCCCCGGAGAUCAGGCUCCUCAGGAGAUGUUGCUCCGUCAGAUGGAUGAUCUCUCUCUGGUUCUGGUUCAGCACUCAGGAGAUGUUUGCCAGCUCCUGCAGAUGCUGGUGAAUGUGGUCAUUAAUGGUGUUUGGGUCAGGAGGAGCGUCGAGCGUCUCAACAGUGCUGUCACCUGAUGUGAUUCUGAAAGAGAAGUGUGCCAGCUCUUUUCUCCAUUCUUCUGCUCCUGACAAACUCUGACAACAGCAGCUGGUGACCGCAGGAGAGUUCACGCACUGAAGCUCCUGCAGAUGCUGGUGAAUGUGGUCAUUAAUGGUGUUUGGGUCAGGAGGAGCGUCGAGCGGUCUCAACAGUGCUGUCACCUGAUGUGAUUCUGAAAGAGAAGUGUGCCAGCUCUUUUCUCCAUUCUUCUGCUCCUGACAAACUCUGACAACAGCAGCUGGUGACCGCAGGAGAGUUCACGCACUGAAGUGAUGUGAUUCUGAAAGAGAAGUGUGCCAGCUCUUUUCUCCAUUCUUCUGCUCCUGACAAACUCUGACAACAGCAGCUGGUGACCGCAGGAGAGUUCACGCGCGCUGAAGCUCCUGCAGAUGCUGGUGAAUGUGGUCAUUAAUGGUGUUUGGGUCAGGAGGAGCGUCGAGCGUCUCAACAGUGCUGUCACCGGAUCAUCACACCACCACCACCGAAGAUGAGCUGGAAAGUUUAACAGUUGGGCUUCACACAUCUGUUGCUUUAUAAACUUAUGAAUAAAUGAUAUUUCAUAACAGAAAUAUGAAGUAGAAUGUAUACACAGCUAUUGUGUGCAGUGCAGUUGUGGUCUGUUAAGAAGCCGUACUCCCUUUUGUAAUUUACUGACGUCAACCGCUUAACAGGCCAAUCAUCGUGUGAUCGGACAUUGUGUGUGUGUGUGUGUGUGUAUACACAUCAUAUAUAUAUGAUGUAUACAAUUAUUCAAUGUAACAAGAGGUAUCGCAUCCAUUUUAGCAAUGUUUAAAAACAUAUUAAAUACUGUAUAAGUGCUGUCUUAGCAUUGCGUGAUUACAGGGUAGUUUUGUUUUUAGUUUUUCAAAAGGUGUGAAAUUUGUCACUUUAAUAAAAUGUGAAGAAAUGUGGUAUAUAGAAA